UUUGCAGGUAAUACUUUAAUGUCUUACAACGUACAGUGUUUGAUAUUUAGCGAAAAUAAAAUUCUGAAGCAUUAACUUGCUGGCAUCUUGGAACUACCCUCUGAAUCUGGAAGAGUGAAGAAGGGCAAACCGAAGCCAGGAUAAAGUGCCUACUGUAAGUCCUGAGGACAGCGACAUCCUGUUACGGCUUUUCCGAGACGCAGAAGGGUUAAUGAGCCUCCCAGAAGCCCUGACUUCCUCCCCGUGAGUCACUGGGCACAGAGGAGACCAGACCCAUAUAUCCUCAUGACAUCUAUUGGCGAGAAGUGGUUGCUGCCCCCUUUCAGACCAAGCAAGGACCAUUUGUCAUAGUCAACACCACGUGCCCUGACUAGUCUCUGUGGACAUUUGAUUUUUGCGAUCCCAGAUAAAGCAGAAGACCACAUAAAGAAACAGUGGCAAGACACUGUGUAACCCAGCUUAUUCCUUUCUUCAGCAGAUACAGAUAGUUACACCGUGCUUCAACAUGGCAGACACUAGCCAGGCAAGGUCUCUCUGAAUGGCACCAUAACUGCUACCUGGUUCAUUUAUCUCUGCUCUUAGCCCCACUGGCAAGCUCAAUCUUGCCCCAGGCU